UCUUGGAAUGCUGUGAACUCCCGAACCUAUCCAUGACCACUGGAUCUGACUAAAGGAUCUGUUUCCCUGCUGGCUGCCUUUAUCGGAUGUGUCUGCAAGGGGAUUCUUCAGCACAGUUGUUGGAUUUCAGAGCCCAACAGAUGUGGAUGGAGGGCAGAGGAAGGAGCAGAUGUGUUAAAGAAGGGGAUCCAGGUGGGAAUAAUAUUUAUGGGAAGAUUGCCUGCACCUCAUCUCUGCUACUGUGUCAGCUGUUGGAGUAGAUGGAAUGAGCUGUGCUGAGCUUGUCUGGCUCUGAAAUAUCAUCUCUGCACCUUAACCAGGAGCGAUAUUAGAGUCCCAAACCGACCAACAAAAAUCAGUCAUAACCCAGGAGCAACCUCGGCAAUACACG